UUACAUCCUGGGACCAGUUCUUGUAGUAGCUUCAUCCUAGCAUUAAUCUUCUCUCUCCUUGCCUACAGACAUAUAUAUAUAAUCAAGAUAAUUAAAAGCUUAAUUAUAUGUAAUUACUAAUUACCAUGUUUAGCAAAACAUUAGAAGCUCUUAAUCUUACUCUUUCUGCUAAACUAUGGCUAUCAGUGGCUUGGCCUCGACGCGCUCGGACGUGAACAUAUGGUAGCUUCUCGCCGCCGUCUUCUGAGUGGAUUGGAAGUCGCCGGAGAUGAGUUGUGGUUACAUUCGGAAUCUAGGGGUUCUUGCUUGACGAACAGUGAUUUCGACCCGGAAUUCGAAAGGGUUGAAUUGGACUCCGGGGAGUUACCGGCGGCGGCGAAGACGGAGAACUUAGAAG
rnacentral:lncRNA from 1 species